GAUGAACGCUGGCGGCGUGCCUAAUACAUGCAAGUCGAGCGAACAGACGAGGAGCUUGCUCCUCUGACGUUAGCGGCGGACGGGUGAGUAACACGUGGAUAACCUACCUAUAAGACUGGGAUAACUUCGGGAAACCGGAGCUAAUACCGGAUAACAUGUUGAACCGCAUGGUUCAACAGUGAAAGACGGUCUUGCUGUCACUUAUAGAUGGAUCCGCGCCGCAUUAGCUAGUUGGUAAGGUAACGGCUUACCAAGGCAACGAUGCGUAGCCGACCUGAGAGGGUGAUCGGCCACACUGGAACUGAGACACGGUCCAGACUCCUACGGGAGGCAGCAGUAGGGAAUCUUCCGCAAUGGGCGAAAGCCUGACGGAGCAACGCCGCGUGAGUGGUGAAGGUCUUCGGAUCGUAAAACUCUGUUAUUAGGGAAGAACAAAUGUGUAAGUAACUAUGCACGUCUUGACGGUACCUAAUCAGAAAGCCACGGCUAACUACGUG
rnacentral:rRNA from 1 species